ACCAACUGCUGCCGACCUCGCCACCACUGCUUUGUCUCUGAGGUCAGAGUGCUCCUGGUGCCAUGAACGGAGACGACGCCUUUGCAAAGAGACCCAGGGAUGAUGCUAAAGCAUCAGAGAAGAGAAGCAAGGCCUUCGAUGAUAUUGCCAAAUACUUCUCUAAGGAAGAGUGGGAAAAGAUGAAAUUCUCGGAGAAAAUCAGCUGUGUGCAUAUGAAGAGAAAGUAUGAGGCCAUGACUAAACUAGGUUUCAACGUCACCCUCUCACUUUUCAUGCGUAAUAAACGGGCCACAGACUCUCAGAGGAAUGAUUCUGAUAAUGACCGUAACCGUGGGAAUGAGGUUGAACGUCCUCAGAUGACUUUUGGCAGGCUCCAGAGAAUCAUCCCGAAGGUGAGUAUCUCUCAAAUCUACAGGACCAGAGAACCUUUGUCCCUCCACGGAUGUGAACACUGGUAAGAGCGGGAGAAUAUCAAAAAUGUCCUCAUUGCCUCCUUCUCCCCAUGUCUAUCACAACACCAGAUGUGGCAUCAAUGGCUUGAUAAUACUAACAGUUGUGAUCCUUAAUACUUCUUUUGUUUUCAUAGUGAUGCCAGAUACUAUUUUAAGCAGUUCAGAUGGAUUAAUUAAUUUAAUCCAUAAGAAGACCUCUAUGACAUUGUUUCUGUUAUUAUCUCCAAAGAAUAACAAGUCACACACUUUGGUUGUCAUCCAUAUGAAAGCCAUGUGACUUGGCGCAAAUCUUCUAAGUUCUCUGAGCUCCAGAUUCCUGGUCCAUGAAAUGGAAGUAAAGAAUCAUAGUUCAUGUUUUAGAUCAUAGUUAUCAGCAACAUAAUAAUAAAAUGAGGCUAUCGUGGUACAGAGAUGUUAAAGAAUUUUCCUGAGGCGCAGUGUCAGUGGUAGUCUAAUCCAGAGCUCCAAGCCAUUUAAAGCUCAUUCACGUCUGCAUUUGUUUAUGAAGUUCAGAUGUUGCUCACUAGGGCUUCACCCCAUAGGGCCUCCUGGUGCUUCCGUUGAGACACCCACUCUCACAACAGGAAGGACCAGCUGGCCUCUGCUCUGUUACCGGGGCCACUCGCAUGGCUUAGGAAUCGCUUUGACUGUUGGCCCCUCCAUACUGUGAGCUCCUUGAGGGCCUUGUCUGCACCUGGGGCAUCCGGGAAACCCCAGUCCCAGCCCAGGGGAUCCAUCGGAGGCCCCUGAAUGAGUGACCCCACAAUUGCAGAUUCAACUCUGGUUUAGAUGGUAAAGGGAUCUGGGAGCUGGGUUGCCAGUGUGGAGACCGAAUUCAAAGCAGGAUCCAGAAAGGUAUUAAUUGUUAUUAUUAUUACAUUUAAACAGUGUUUACAAGCUCAGAGAGGAAUUUCCCUUAGCCUAUUUUACACAUAUUUUUCACUAUUUCAUAAGUGAGGAAGCUGAGUAAAAAGUACCUUAAGGGCCCGGUGCGGUGGCUCACGAGUGU
ensembl:lncRNA novel transcript